GUAAUGUCUGGGAAACUGCCUGAUGGAGGGGGAUAACUACUGGAAACGGUGGCUAAUACCGCAUAACGUCGCAAGACCAAAGAGGGGGACCUUCGGGCCUCUUGCCAUCAGAUGUGCCCAGAUGGGAUUAGCUAGUUGGUGAGGUAACGGCUCACCAAGGCGACGAUCCCUAGCUGGUCUGAGAGGAUGACCAGCCACACUGGAACUGAGACACGGUCCAGACUCCUACGGGAGGCAGCAGUGGGGAAUAUUGCACAAUGGGCGCAAGCCUGAUGCAGCCAUGCCGCGUGUAUGAAGAAGGCCUUCGGGUUGUAAAGUACUUUCAGCGGGGAGGAAGGUGUUGUGGUUAAUAACCGCAGCAAUUGACGUUACCCGCAGAAGAAGCACCGGCUAACUCCGUGCCAGCAGCCGCGGUAAUACGGAGGGUGCAAGCGUUAAUCGGAAUUACUGGGCGUAAAGCGCACGCAGGCGGUCUGUCAAGUCGGAUGUGAAAUCCCCGGGCUCAACCUGGGAACUGCAUUCGAAACUGGCAGGCUUGAGUCUUGUAGAGGGGGGUAGAAUUCCAGGUGUAGCGGUGAAAUGCGUAGAGAUCUGGAGGAAUACCGGUGGCGAAGGCGGCCCCCUGGACAAAGACUGACGCUCAGGUGCGAAAGCGUGGGGAGCAAACAGGAUUAGAUACCCUGGUAGUCCACGCCGUAAACGAUGUCUACUUGGAGGUUGUGCCCUUGAGGCGUGGCUUCCGGAGCUAACGCGUUAAGUAGACCGCCUGGGGAGUACGGCCGCAAGGUUAAAACUCAAAUGAAUUGACGGGGGCCCGCACAAGCGGUGGAGCAUGUGGUUUAAUUCGAUGCAACGCGAAGAACCUUACCUGGUCUUGACAUCCACAGAACUUUCCAGAGAUGGAUUGGUGCCUUCGGGAACUGUGAGACAGGUGCUGCAUGGCUGUCGUCAGCUCGUGUUGUGAAAUGUUGGGUUAAGUCCCGCAACGAGCGCAACCCUUAUCCUUUGUUGCCAGCGGUCCGGCCGGGAACUCAAAGGAGACUGCCAGUGAUAAACUGGAGGAAGGUGGGGAUGACGUCAAGUCAUCAUGGCCCUUACGACCAGGGCUACACACGUGCUACAAUGGCGCAUACAAAGAGAAGCGACCUCGCGAGAGCAAGCGGACCUCAUAAAGUGCGUCGUAGUCCGGAUUGGAGUCUGCAACUCGACUCCAUGAAGUCGGAAUCGCUAGUAAUCGUGGAUCAGAAUGCCACGGUGAAUACGUUCCCGGGCCUUGUACACACCGCCCGUCACACCAUGGGAGUGGGUUGCAAAAGAAGUAGGUAGCUUAACCUUCGGGAGGGCGCUUACCACUUUGUGAUUCAUGACUGGGGUGAAGUCGUAACAAGGUAACCGUAGGGGAACCUGC
rnacentral:rRNA from 1 species